CUCCCGUGGUCUAGUGGUACGGGUUUCGCUUCGUAAGCGGAAGGUCGAUGGCUUGAAAUCCAUCUGGCGAGG
rnacentral:tRNA from 1 species